rnacentral:rRNA from 1 species
AUUAGCGGCGGACGGGUGAGUAACACGUGAGUAACCUGCCUUAGACAUUGGGAUAGCCUCGGGAAACCGGGAUUAAUACCAAAUAAAAUCAUAAUGACACAUGUCAUAACGAUCAAAACUCCGGUGGUCUAAGAUGGACUCGCGUCCCAUUAGCUAGUUGGUAGAGUAAAAGCCUACCAAGGCGACGAUGGGUAGCCGGCCUGAGAGGGUGAACGGCCACAUUGGAACUGAGACACGGUCCAG